AACGAACGCUGGCGGCAUGCCUAACACAUGCAAGUCGAACGAGUCCUUCGGGUCUAGUGGCGCACGGUUGCGUAACGCGUGGGAACCUGCCCUUAUGUUCGGAAUAACUCCCCGAAAGGGGUUCUAAUACCGGAUAAUGUCUUCGGACCAAAGAUUUAUCGCCUUUGGAUGGGCCCGCGUUGGAUUAGCUAGUUGGUAGGGUAAAAGCCUACCAAGGCGACGAUCCAUAGCUGGUCUGAGAGGAUGAUCAGCCACACUGGGACUGAGACACGGCCCAGACUCCUACGGGAGGCAGCAGUGGGGAAUAUUGGACAAUGGGAGAAAGCCUGAUCCAGCAAUGCCGCGUGAGUGAUGAAGGCCUUAGGGUUGUAAAGCUCUUUUACCCGGGAUGAUAAUGACAGUACCGGGAGAAUAAGCUCCGGCUAACUCCGUG
rnacentral:rRNA from 1 species